AGCUCCAAUAGCGUAUAUUAAAGUUGUUGCAGUUAAAAAGCUCGUAGUUGGAUUUCUGGUAGGAUGACUGUGCCCUCAGUAGAGUGUGCGCUGGCGUCUUGCCAUCCUUCUGUUAACCUUUGGGAGCUUCACCGCUCCCUUUGGGGCUCAGAUAUUUUACCUUGAGAAAAUUAGAGUGUUUCAGGCAGGCUAGCGCCGGAAUACAUUAGCAUGGAAUAAUGGAAUAGGACUUUUGCCUCUUCUGUUGGUCAUGGGGUUCGAGUAAUGAUUAAUAGGGAUAGUUGGGGGCAUUCGUAUUUAACUGUCAGAG
rnacentral:rRNA from 1 species